ensembl:lncRNA
GUAGAUGGUAGUAGAGGUAGAUGGUAGUAGAGGGUAGAUGGUAGUAGAGGUAGAUGGUAGUAGAGGGUAGAUGGUAGUAGAGGGAGAUGGUAGUAGAGGGUAGAUGGUAGUAGAGGGUAGAUGGUAGUAGAGGGUAGAUGGUAGUAGAGGUAGAUGGUAGUAGAGUAGAGGUAGAUGGUAGUAGAGUAGAGGUAGAUGGUAGUAGAGUAGAGGUAGAUGGUAGUAGAGGUAGAUGGUAGUAGAGGGUAGAUGGUAGUAGAGGGUAGAUGGUAGUAGAGGUAGAUGGUAGUAGAGGUAGAUGGUAGUAGAGGGUAGAUGGUAGUAGAGGGUAGAUGGUAGUAGAGGUAGAUGGUAGUAGAGGGUAGAUGGUAGUAGAGGUAGAUGGUAGUAGAGGGUAGAUGGUAGUAGAGGUAGAUGGUAGUAGAUGGUAGUAGAUGGUAGAUAGUAG